UGUAGGUGUGUGUUCCAGGUAAAUCCGGUUCACUUUAACACUGAGGCGUGACGACGAGGCACUACGGUGCUGAAGCAACAAAUGCCCUGCUUCCAGGAAAAGCCUCUAAGCAUCAGGUAACAUCAAAUCGUACCCCAAACCGACACAGGUGGUCAGGUAGAGAAUACCAAGGCGCUUGAGAGAACUCGGGUGAAGGAACUAGGCAAAAUGGUGCCGUAACUUCGGGAGAAGGCACGCUGACACGUAGGUGAAGUGAUUUACUCAUGGAGCUGAAGUCAGUCGAAGAUACCAGCUGGCUGCAACUGUUUAUUAAAAACACAGCACUGUGCAAACACGAAAGUGGACGUAUACGGUGUGACGCCUGCCCGGUGCCGGAAGGUUAAUUGAUGGGGUCAGCGCAAGCGAAGCUCCUGAUCGAAGCCCCGGUAAACGGCGGCCGUAACUAUAACGGUCCUAAGGUAGCGAAAUUCCUUGUCGGGUAAGUUCCGACCUGCACGAAUGGCGUAAUGAUGGCCAGGCUGUCUCCACCCGAGACUCAGUGAAAUUGAACUCGCUGUGAAGAUGCAGUGUACCCGCGGCAAGACGGAAAGACCCCGUGAACCUUUACUAUAGCUUGACACUGAACAUUGAGCCUUGAUGUGUAGGAUAGGUGGGAGGCUUUGAAGCGUGGACGCCAGUCUGCGUGGAGCCGACCUUGAAAUACCACCCUUUAAUGUUUGAUGUUCUAACGUGGACCCGUAAUCCGGGUUGCGGACAGUGUCUGGUGGGUAGUUUGACUGGGGCGGUCUCCUCCUAAAGAGUAACGGAGGAGCACGAAGGUUGGCUAAUCCUGGUCGGACAUCAGGAGGUUAGUGCAAUGGCAUAAGCCAGCUUGACUGCGAGCGUGACGGCGCGAGCAGGUGCGAAAGCAGGUCAUAGUGAUCCGGUGGUUCUGAAUGGAAGGGCCAUCGCUCAACGGAUAAAAGGUACUCCGGGGAUAACAGGCUGAUACCGCCCAAGAGUUCAUAUCGACGGCGGUGUUUGGCACCUCGAUGUCGGCUCAUCACAUCCUGGGGCUGAAGUAGGUCCCAAGGGUAUGGCUGUUCGCCAUUUAAAGUGGUACGCGAGCUGGGUUUAGAACGUCGUGAGACAGUUCGGUCCCUAUCUGCCGUGGGCGCUGGAGAACUGAGGGGGGCUGCUCCUAGUACGAGAGGACCGGAGUGGACGCAUCACUGGUGUUCGGGUUGUCAUGCCAAUGGCACUGCCCGGUAGCUAAAUGCGGAAGAGAUAAGUGCUGAAAGCAUCUAAGCACGAAACUUGCCCCGA
rnacentral:rRNA from 1 species